rnacentral:pre_miRNA from 1 species
AAUAAUUGUAUUUUUACACAGUUCAUAUUGAUCGUCCGUCUUAUUUAAAAAAUAUGUUUGAUAUUUUUAUUGUUAUUAGAUGAUAAAACAUGAGUAAUAAUUUAUGUGUGACUAUUGUCUUAUUUUCUAUUUCAUAAUUUUUUAAAUAAAAUGAACGGUCAAAUGUUGGACAUGAAAAAUCCACGGACACAAUUAUG